rnacentral:rRNA from 1 species
GACGAACGCUGGCGGCGUGCUUAACACAUGCAAGUCGAGCGGUAAGGCCCUUUCGGUGGUACACGAGCGGCGAACGGGUGAGUAACACGUGGGUGACCUGCCCUCAGCUCUGGGAUAAGCCUGGGAAACCGGGUCUAAUACUGGAUAUGACUCCAUGACGCAUGUUGUGGGGUGGAAAGCCUUGUGCGGCUGAGGAUGGGCCCGCGGCCUAUCAGCUUGUUGGUGGGGUGAUGGCCUACCAAGGCGACGACGGGUAGCCGGCCUGAGAGGGCGACCGGCCACACUGGGACUGAGACACGGCCCAGACUCCUACGGGAGGCAGCAGUGGGGAAUCUUGCGCAAUGGGCGAAAGCCUGACGCAGCGACGCCGCGUGAGGGAUGACGGCCUCGGUGUAA